rnacentral:rRNA from 1 species
AGACGGAGGGUGCAAGCGUUAAUCGGAAUUACUGGGCGUAAAGCGCGCGUAGGCGGUUUAGUAAGUCGGAUGUGAAAGCCCCGGGCUCAACCUGGGAAUUGCAUUCGAUACUGCUUGACUAGAGUAUGGUAGAGGGAAGUGGAAUUUCCGGUGUAGCGGUGAAAUGCGUAGAUAUCGGAAGCAACACCAGUGGCGAAGGCGACUUCCUGGGCCAAUACUGACGCUCAGGUGCGAAAGCGUGGGGAGCAAACAGGAUUAGAAACCCCAGUAGUCC